rnacentral:rRNA from 1 species
GACAGAGGGGGCAAGCGUUGCUCGGAAUCACUGGGCGUAAAGGGCGCGUAGGCGGGAUGGCAAGUCGGUCGUGAAAUCCUUCGGCUCAACCGAAGAACGUCGGCCGAUACUGCCGUUCUUGAGGGAUGCAGAGGAGAUUGGAAUUCCCGGUGUAGCGGUGAAAUGUGUAGAGAUCGGGAGGAACACCGGUGGCGAAGGCGGGUCUCUGGGGCUGUAUCUGACGCUGAUGCGCGAAAGCUAGGGGAGCAAACGGG